GGAGGAGCCUGCGGGGAUGACAAAGCAGUUCCACUGUGUCACAGCUGGCACCGGGGCUGGCGCUGGGCACAUCAGCAGCCGUGUGUGCCAGCAUGAGCCGGCACAGGCAUGCUGCAGAGAAGGGACCCUGUGAGACUCUGCCCUCCUAGGGACAGACUGAGCGGCAGCAAGAAAAAUGAGGGACUUUCAGGGGCAGCUGUGUUUUACUAACCCAGUCAUAAUGCCCCUAAAAAUCCUUAUUGUUCUUGCAAUGGUCAACUGUGCCCUUCAGUGCGGGAAGGCCUGCAAAGGAAAGCACGUGGGGCAGGGCAAGCGUGGUGGGGCAGGUCUGCCCUCGGGAAGGCACGAUGGCAAGUGGGAGCAGCGUUUCAGGCGGGAGAAAGAGGUUCUACUGGAGUGGAGCUGGAAGGAUGCAUGGUUGUCAAUUGUGGUUAUGGAGCACGUACUGUGCAUGAAGCUCAGGGCACAGGAGCUGCAACACAAAGUGGGGGAAAUGAAAAAGCCAAGUGCUUUUCUCCCUGCUCUGUCUUUCAUUCCCUGCCCAGCUGCGUGAAAUGCAACUGGAGAGAGGCACAACCCAACCCCCAAGAGAGCCCAAGCUACCCCUACCUCCAGUCACAGUUGUACUCCUCUUUCAGCUAACUGCUCUAGGUCUUUGCUCAUCCCUAACACCCCUCUCUGAGCUUUAUUUUCUACUCUUAAUUUUCCAGAUCAGCCCAGAAUUCAGUAAUGGCCUGCAAAGAAGCAAUCUGUUAAAUAGAACCAUAAUAUUAAAUUAUUUGGCAUCUUUAUGCACUCUUAAUGCUUUAUUUCUGAGAGCUUCUAUAUGUUGAGUAAAAGUUGUUAUUUUCACUAACUCUGGAACAAUGUUCAAAGCUUUUCUCUUUUAGGAGCUCCACCUGGAGUUACCUAUCCAUAGCCAGUCUGGCUUCACAGCACCAACAGUCUGGUUGGAUUACUUGUUACUUUUUUGGCAAGGUUUUGUUUAAGACUUUUAUAAAGUUUAUAAAUUAAUCAAUAUGAUUAUCAAUUAAUUCUGCUUUAUAAGCCUAUGCCAGUGGGUUAGAAAUGCAUGGUUUUGUCUGUAGUGACUACAUAGACUUGCUUUUACGUAGCACUUGCCUAUUUUUAAUUGGGUUAUAUGGCUCUGGAGCAAGAUUUACUCAUUUGUUAUUUGUUAUUCUUAGGAGCAUUUCAUCUGCUUUCCUUAAAGCUGAAUUCUUUAUAAAGGAGAAGUGAUGAGAAACCCUGCAGUGAGUCCCAGGUCUCCCUGAACGUUGUGAGGAUGCUGCCAUAGUGACACUGCUCCAGUUAAGGAAUGACUGCUUUGAGACCUUUGAUUUCUGAGGCUGCCCUAUUACAGGAAGCCCCAGACCCUCUGCUCUUCUCCACAAGGAUUCCUUCAUCUAGCAGCUCUCAUGUCCAUCGGAUACUGAAACGAGACUGAAGAGCUUCAAUGUUCCUUGACAAGAUGGGUGGAUGGAAUUAAUUCCUUCUGUUCUGAUCCUGAUACCUGCCAAUCACCUCAACUGCUAAUGGGCUGCAGAGCAACAACCUACUACAGUGGAAUAUUUUGUGCUGAAAACAGGAAGAUUGGGAAUGAGGGUUUGUAACUUUUUUGGAUGUGUUUCUAUGGCUCAAUUUUUAUCUUUAGUAUCACCACCUUACUCAAAAUAAGAAUAUAUGUAAAAAUAAACACGUUUUUGCUUUGAAAUACUGGAAUACUCCUCCCCAGCUUCUUCCUAUCUCAGCUCUGCCCCUGUGAAGAGAACCUGCUCAUGGAUUUUAAAGCCAGAAGGAUGAAUCUGAACCUCUGCCACUGGACGCGCACAGAAUAACUCCCGCAGCUCAUCCCAAAGCCAGGACCCUGAUGAAUGGAUCUUUUCCUAACGUGCUAUGGGAACUCUGCCUGUACAAGUGUCUGACAGGCUGUUGUACUGCUUUGUAUCCUUAUGCCCUGCACCUCACAGCAAGCUGCAAGUUUCCGGCUGUUUCUCGUACAGCCUGCGGAUGAAACCCUUCAUGUAUGUGACUGCGUGUGGUGAACAGGAGAGCGCAGCACAGGGGGUUGGUGCUAUUUUUAUCCCAGCUGUUCCCAAAACAGCUCUCGCAGCCAGGCAGGUCACACGCACCCCAUCCAGUUGCCACACUGCCUGUCAGAGCAGAGGGUGGGUGAGCAGAGCUCUGCAGGACACUGGGGACGUGGCCAGGGGCUGAUCUGCAGGAUCCCUUGCGCAUAUCCCACAGGUACACACUGUGAGAUAACACAGUGUAGCUCUUUAACACUUCAGGGCAUUUCCAGCAGACCCAUGAUGUGUUUCUCAGUGCCCAGGCUUAGCCUUGCACUAAGAUUGCAAGAACAAGUUAAGGUUUGGUUUUUAUAAGUUCAGUGUCAAUUAACACCUCCAAUUUGGCCUGGAAAAAUGCAAGAAUAUCUAAAAUAAAGGUGUUCUAAAAAGUA